rnacentral:lncRNA from 1 species
CACACACAAGCCAAGAGUUCCUUGAAGGAAACCAGAUGUCAUGAGCUUAACAGAAUCUGCAAUUACAUCUGACACCUUGAUGCCUUCCUUUCCUUUGGAACUUUCUUUCUUCUGUGGCAGCAGUCAGAAGCUUCCCCAAGGAGGGUGGAUGCUGAGGAGUCUGGAAGCAGCCAGAAGCUCUGCCCAGGUGAGCAGAGACAGCUGCCACCUGAGAGAGGCCCUAGCAUGAAUCACACGGACGCCAGGAAAAGGGCAGCUCGGCCAGAACAUCAGGACACUCCCGGCUUUGAUCCAUGGACAACCUGCCGGGGAAAUGGGUUGUGUUUCCUUUUCCCUUGCCUGCAAAUCAGACACCUUAGAGCUGAAAACCCUGCCGCUGCCUCCUUCGCACAGAAAUAAAGGACAGCUCUGGACGCCCGCACGGAUUUAGAUCUCCCCCUUCCGCCAGCCUCUCCAGGGCAGCCACCGCUGGGUGCUCCGCACUCUGGCCGGACCCGCUGCCCGGUG